UCUGAAAACAGCUGAAGUUGCCAUCUUUCAAAACAUAAAUUAAGUCAUUCUCAAUAUUGAAGCAAUACUCAAACAAUAAAGAUAUUCUUAGCAUAAUAAGAUACUAUUUUCACGGAUACUAUAAUCCAACCAUAUGCUGACAUGAAUGCCAACAAACUAUUUAUAGGUGAUCUCUGGAGCAUAUAGAAUAUACACAUGACAUAUUUUGGCAAUGAAUCUUUCUUCCACACAGCCAGGAGUUUGUUUGAGAUUUGAAAAGUGUGAUUGACACAAAAUGAAGAAAAACAGCGCUUUUACAGCUGCACUUCUGUAUGAUAGCUAGGCUGUCUGCCGUGGUAAGC